rnacentral:misc_RNA from 1 species
UCGUGCCUGGUGUCUUGG